CAUUUCGUCUUCAAAUUAUGAGUUGGGUGAUAUUUUGGUGCUCAAAUUUUAAUUUAUUGUAAUUUCUAGCUCGAAUUUUUAAAAUUGUUGCAAAUAAGUUUUAUAACUUAAUUUAGUUGAGUAAAUAUUGAUGUAUUGCUAACACGAAAGUGAUGUAACGGUGUUGUGAUUGAUGACAUACAGAUAAUUAAGAUGUUACAUCACUUUUAUAUUAACCAUACGUCAAUAUUUAGACAACUAAAUUGAACUGUAUAUCUUAAUUGCAAUAAUUCUGAAAGCUUGAACAAUAAAUUACAAUAAAUUAAAGUUUGACGACUAAAGUGUCAUGCACCUCAUAGUUUGAGGACCAAAUGUGCAAUUCAACUUAUUUACCAUCCAACCUUUCAAUUUGUUUGAUUUGAAUCGGUCAACGAUACUUCGAUUUCAAAUUUUGAAUACGUCGUUUAUCUUUACAAGUUAAAUAUAUUUUAUCCGAUUCCCGCAACCAUAAUUAAGUAUAUUUUAUAUGAUUCCCGCAACUAUAACUUCAUUAACAUAAUUAAAUUAGUUUAAAUUUUAAAGUCAAAAUACUGUUGGCUGACUCAAAUCAAACAAAUUAAA
rnacentral:lncRNA from 1 species